CCUAGAUCAGUUUAUGAGAACAUAGUUUUUUAUUCUAUAAAUAAGUACUGGCCAAAGACUUUAAAAAAGACCAACUUUACAAUGAAACAAGAAAUAUUCUGAAGUAUUUCCCUUAUACUACUGGAUCCAUGGUAUGAUUAUAUCAAAUAAGGGCUACAAGACAGGUGAACGAAGAAGAGGUGGAACUGAAUAGCCGUGGAUUGCAAAGCAGAUUCUCACCACAGGUAUAUUUUCAAUCUGAAGAAUAUUUUUCUACUGAUGAACUAACAAUUGUAAACAGUUAUGAGCUUCCAACAAAAAUGGUGAGUACUUUCAUAUGUAACAACAAAACAAACU
rnacentral:lncRNA from 1 species